rfam:Camelus ferus unplaced genomic scaffold scaffold370, whole genome shotgun sequence.
GAGCGUAUAGCUCAAUGGUAGAGUGUGUGUUUAGCAGGCAGGAGGUCCUGGGUUCAAUCCCCAGUGCCUCCA